AGUGAACGCUGGCGGUAGGCCUAACACAUGCAAGUCGAACGGCAGCACAGUAAGAGCUUGCUCUUACGGGUGGCGAGUGGCGGACGGGUGAGGAAUACAUCGGAAUCUACUUUUUCGUGGGGGAUAACGUAGGGAAACUUACGCUAAUACCGCAUACGACCUACGGGUGAAAGCAGGGGAUCUUCGGACCUUGCGCGACUGAAUGAGCCGAUGUCGGAUUAGCUAGUUGGCGGGGUAAAGGCCCACCAAGGCGACGAUCCGUAGCUGGUCUGAGAGGAUGAUCAGCCACACUGGAACUGAGACACGGUCCAGACUCCUACGGGAGGCAGCAGUAGGGAAUAUUGGACAAUGGGCGCAAGCCUGAUCCAGCCAUGCCGCGUGGGUGAAGAAGGCCUUCGGGUUGUAAAGCCCUUUUGUUGGGAAAGAAAAGCAGAAGGUUAAUACCCCGCUGUUCUGACGGUACCCAAAGAGUAAGCACCGGCUAACUUCGUG
rnacentral:rRNA from 1 species